AUUGUUUCAACCUAAGUAUUUCUAUAUUUAGAGCUUGGGCUCUUAGCCACUUUGUUCUGUUAUCAUCUCACAUGUAGUAGCUCUGGUAGAAUCUGAUAUGUUGGAAAGUCAGUUAGUAUUGGCAAAUAUACAGCCAGAAGAAUAAACAGAGCAUGAAUAGCCAAGAGUUGUUGGACAGAGAAGAGCCUUCGAGGGCCCCAUUAACAAAGUAGCAGAAGGACCUGCAGAGUUGAGACAGUAAUUUAGGCAAGAGAAGUGACUGGUGUGAAAUGGAGUAGGGAAGGACCAAGAUGGAACAGCAAGGAAGUUCACAUUCCAGAAAUCCUCUCACAUUAGAUAAAGGAGCAAGAGGUACAUGCCAGAUCUAAAAAGGUAUGUGGAUGGAAAGCCACUUACCUAGAGACCUGACCAAUAGGACAUUUCAAGAGAUAGAGACUGAUGUAAAGACAAAGCUUUCAGUAGCCAAAGAAAUCAGAAUUAGAGUAAUCCUUUGUCUGGGUGAAAAUCCUACCUCCAAUCAGUAUCUGUCCUCGGGAUGAGACAGCCCCUGCCCAGAUCUGCAGCAAAGUCUCAGAAGCUGAGGUAUUCUAAUAUAAAGCUCUGAGAGCAUUUAGGAAAACUAGAAGGAGGGAUUGUGGAAGGAAGAACAACCAGUCCUAUCCUCAGGAUCAUACAACAUUAGACUAAAGAGUCUAUUAAAAAAAAAAAAGAGCCUAUUGAAAAAAGACCCAUAUUAAUUCACAAAAUUUUGACCUAAUAUUAAAAAAUGAAGGGAUUUCAAAUAAAAAUCCAGGUUUCAGAGUUUUCUUCAAAUAUCAGAAGACCUAGCCACCCAGAGCUCACAUUCCUAUGGUAGUUGAGUUGCAUUGUAGCUUGUCUUAGUCAUUUAGUGCUGCUGUAACAGAAAUACUACAAGUGGAUAGCUUUAACAAAGAGGAACUUAUUCUCUCAGAGUCUAGGAGGCUAGAAGUCCAAAUUCAGGGUGCCAGCUCCAGGGGAAAGCUUUCUCUCUCUGUUGAUUCUGGGGCAAGGUUCUUAUCAUCAAUCUUCCCCAGUCGAGGAGCUUCUCAAUGCAGGGACCCCAGGCCCAAAGGACCCACUAUUCUCCUGGCCCUAGUUUCUUGAUAGUAUUAGGUCUCCAGUUCUCUGUACUCCUCUCUUGUAUAUCGAAAAAGAAAUUGACUUUAAUAUACAACCUAAUCUGUAGAUUGAAUCUAGCCGCAUUAAUAUAACUGCCGCUAAUGCCCCAAGCGUCCGUCAGUUUGUCGUACUGUGGAGGCUUGUAUGUUGCUAUGAUGCUAGAAGUUAUGCCACUGGUAUUCAAAUACCAGGAGAGUCACCUAUGGCAAAAAACUUUCAGCUGAGCUUCCAGACUAAGACAGACUAGGAAAAAGGACCUAGUGGUCUACUUCUGAAAAGAAUAAGCCAGUGAAAAACCUUAUGAAUAGCAGAGAACAUUGUCUGAUAUAGUGCAGGAAAAUGAGCCCCUCAGGUUGGAAGGCACUCAAAAGAUGUCUGGGGAAGAGCUGCCUCCUCAAAGUAGAGUUGACCUUUAGGAUGUUGAUGGAGUCAAGCUUUCAGGACCUUCACUUGCUGAUGUGGCAGGACUUAAAAUGAGAAGAAACAGCUGCAAACAUCCAUUAAUAACAGAAGCAUGGAAUGUAUGAAGUAUGAAUCUAGGAAAAUCAGAAAUCAUCAAAAAUAAAAUGGAACACAUAAACAUCGAUAUCCUAGGUAUUAGUGAGCUGAAAUGGAACAUUUCAGCUGAAACUGGCCAUUUUUAAAGUGGACAAUCAGGUGGUCUACUAUGCCAGGAAUGACAACUUGAAGAGGAAUGGCAUUGCAUUGAUCUUCAAAAAGAACAUUUCAAGAUCUAUCCUGAAGUACAACACUGUCAGUGGGAGGAUAAUAUCCAUACACCUACAAGGAAGACCAGUUAAUACAACUAUUAUUCAAAUUUACACACCAAUCACUACGGCCAAAGAUGAAGAAAUUGAAGAUUUUUACCAGCUUCUGCAGUGUGAAACUGAUCGAACAUGCAAUCAAAAUGCUUUGAUAAUUACUGGUGAUUGGAACCUGAAGUUGGAAACAAAGAAGAAAGAUCAGUAGUUUGAAAAUAUGGCCUUGGUGAUAGAAAUGACACCAGAGAUCGCAUGAUAGAAUUUUGCAAGACCAAUGACUUCUUCAUUGCAAAUACCUUUUUUCACCAACGUUAAUGGUGAGUAUAAAAAAAAAAAAAAUUUUUUUUUUUUUUUUAUACACAUGGACUUUGCCAGAUGGUAUACACAGGAAUCAAAUUGACUACAUCUGUGGAAAGAGACAAUGGAAAAGUUCAAUAUCAUCAGUCAGAACAAGGCCAGGGGCUGACUAUGGAACAGACCAUCAACUACUCAUGUGCAAGUUCAAGUUGAAAGUGAAGAAAAUUAGAACAAGUCCUUGAGAGCCAAAGUAUGACCUUGAGUAUAUCCCACCUGAAUUUAGAGACCAGCUCAAGAAUAGAUUUGGUGCAUUGUACACUAAUGAGAAUGACAUCAAGGACGUCAUAUAUAAAAAUGCCAGAGGUCACUAAAAAGGCAAGAAAGAAAGAAAAGACCAAAAUGGAUGUCAGAAGAGACUUUGAAACUUGCUCUUGAAUAUCGAGUAGCUAAAGCAAAAGGAAGAAAUGAUGAAGUAAAAGAGCUAAACAGAAGAUUUCAAAGAGCAGGUCUAGAAGACAAAGUCAAGUAUUAUAAUGACGUGUGCAAAGACCUGGAGUUAGAAAACCAAAAGGGAAGAACAUGUUCAGCGUUUCUCAAGCUGAAAGAACGGAAGAAAAAAUUCAAGCCUAUAGUUGCAAUAUUGAAGGAUUCUACGGGGAAAAUAUUAAACAAUGCAAGAAGCAUCAAAAGAAGAUGGAAGGAAUAUACAGAGACACUGUACCAAAAAGAAUUGGUUGAUGUCCAACCAUUUCAGGAGGUAACAUAUGAUCAGGAACCAAUGAUACUGAAGGAAGAAGUCCAAGAUGCACUGAAGGCAUUGGCAAAAAACAGGGCUCCAGGAAUUGGCGGAAUAUCAAUUGGGAUGUUUCAACAAACGGGUGCAGGGCUGGAAGUGCUCACUUGUCUGUCAAGAGAUUUGUAAGAGAGCUACCUGGCCAACCAACUGGAAGAGAUCCAUAUUUAUGUCUAUUCCAAAGAAAGGUGAUCCAACUGAAUAUGGAAAUUAUUAAACAAUAUCAUUAUUAUCACACUCAAGUAAAAUUUUGCUGAAGAUCAUUCAAAAGCAGCUGUAGCUAUACGUCAACAGGGAACUGCCAGGAAUUCAAGCUGGAUUCAGAAGAGGAUGUGGAGCCAGGGAUAUCAUUGCUGAUGUCAGAUGGAUCCUGGCUGAAAGCAGAGAAUACCAGAAGGAUGUUUACCUCUGUUUUAUUGACUAUGCAAAGACAUUCAACUGUGUGGAUCAGAACAAACUAUGGAUAAGAUUUUGAAGAAUAAGAAUUUCAGAAACCUUAAUUUUGCUCAUGAGGAACCUGUACACAGAUCAAGAGGUAGGCUUUGGAAGAGAACAAGGGGAUAUUGCCUGGUUUAAAGUCAGGAAAGAUGUAUGUCAGGGUUGUAUCCUUUCACCAUAGUUAUUCAAUCUGUAUGCUGAACAAAUAAUCCAAGAAGCUGGACUAUAUGAAGAAGAAUGUGGCGUCAGGAUUGGAGGAAGACUGAUUAACAACCUGCGUUAUGCAAGUGACACAACCUUGCUUGCUGAAAGUGAAGAAGACUUGAAGCACUUACUGAUGAAGAUCAAAGACCACAAUCUUCAUUAUGGAUAUACCUUAACAUAAAGAAAAUAAAAAUCUUCACAACUGGACCCAUUAGCAACAUCAUGAUAAACGAAGAAAAGACUGAAGUUGUCAAGGAUUUCGUUCUGCUAGGAUCCACAAUCAACAUGCAUGGAAGCAGCAAUGAAGAAAUCAAAUGAAGCAUUGCAUUGGGCAAAUGUGCAGCAAAAGACCUCUUUAAAGUGUUAAAAAGACUAAGGUGCGCCUGACCCAAGCCAUAAAGUUUUCAAUUGCCUCAUAUGGAUGCAAAAGCUAGACAAUGAAUAAGGAAGACCAAAGAAGAAUUCUUUGAAUUGUGGUGUUGGCUAAGAAUAUUGAAGAUACCAUGAACUGCCAAAAGAAUGAACAAAUCUGUCUUGGAAGAAGUACAACCAGAAUGCUCCUUAGAAGCAAGGAUGGCAAGACUACGUCUCACAAACUUUGGACAUGGUAUCAGGAGGGAUCAGUCCCUGGAGAAGGGCAUCAUGCGUGGUAAAGUAGAGGGCCAGUGAAAAAGAGGAAGACUCUCAACGAGAUGGAUUGAUACAGUGGCUGCAACAAUGGGCCCAAGCAUAACUAUGAUUGUGAUGAUGGCACAAGUUUCUGGCAGUGUUUCAUUCUGUUGUACAUGGGGUCACUAUGAGCUGGAACCAACUCGACAGUACCUAACAAAAACAACAAUCCCACCUCAUUAACACCAUAGAGGUGGGAUUUAUAACACAUAGAAAAAUCACAUAAGAUGACAAAAUGGUAGACAAUUACAUAAUACUAGGAAUCAUGGCCUAGCCAACUUGACACAUAUUUUUGGGGGACACAAUUCAAUCCAUAACAGCUGAUAAAAGUUGUUCACUUCAGGAGGUGCCUGUGCUGUCCAGGUCUCUGUAGUCCCCACUACUCCCUACUGCCUUCUGGAAACUUGAACUUACUUUAUGCUCAGUCAGCUUUCAUCAUUUUCAUCACCUGCCUGGCCCUGGUAGGCAUUUGACUUCAGAAUCACUGAUGUAGACCACCAUGUCCUUUACAUAUGAGGAAACUGAGACCCAGAGAGAAGGUAUAUGACUUGUCCAAUGAGAUAAAUUGGUGAAUAUCAGAGCUAGGAUUUUAAACCAGGUCCUUUCAUACCCAACCCAACUCUUUUCUCCACUCCCAGAAUAGAGAUAAUUGUGAAACAAUAGUCCCCAUCUGUAGUCCAGUGUGUUCUCCAUUGUAAUCCUUAGAAUGUGCAAGGACUCUGGGAAAUAGAAGCCUGACAGUGAGCAUGAAAGUGAUGGUAGCAGUGGUGGUGGGAAGGGGAAGAUUUUUUUGUUUGACAGUGAGAGACUCUGAUUUAGGACUCAGAAAGGACAACACUUCCCCAAACUCAAAGAUCAGAGAAGCAAAAUGUGGAAGAGAAAGAGGAAGGAAAUUCAAGCUGCUUCAGAAUUUAAGCUGGCAAAACUGCCAAAAUUCCCCUGAGUUAGGACCCAAGUAUGUAUUACAGAAAGCCUUGCUUAGUCUAGAGAUCUGGGGAUUGUCAAAAUUGAGAAACUGUAGACUCAAAUUUAAAUAUUAGGAUUGUAAAUCUUUUUUUUUUUUUAAUGCAAGAUACAAACUGUAACUUGGUGGAAGUAAGGGGAAGUACUUUUUUUGAAAUGGACACCAAGAUAGAGUAAAUAAUGUUAUAAAAAUGAGAUAGUGAUAUAGGCAGACUACUUUGAAACGUAGAAAGCAACUUUAUUUGCAUUAUCUCAUGUAUCAUGAAGGACUCAUAAUUGUCUUAUGGCCAAAGAGGUCUUUUAUUUCAACUUUUUACUCUCCUGCUAGAAUCCUCUGAUCUUGGACCAAACCACUAAACCAAACUCGUUGCCAUCAAGUUGAUUCUGACUCAUAGUGAUCCUACAGGACAGAGUAGAACUGCCCUAUAGAGCUUCCAAGGAGAAGCUGGUGAAUUUGGUUAGCAGCCGAGCUCUUAAUCACUGCACUGCCAGGGCUCCUAGUCUUGGACAGAGAAGUUUAAACACCAAUGGGAUGCUGGAAGUAUCUCAAGUUGCCUUCUAGAGAUCAGAUAUAUUGCUUAAAAGGGGAAUUUUAUUUUGCAGAAGUGUGUUUCUUUUUUUCUUGUUUUUAGCAACUGUUUGCAAAAAUUAACAGCAGAAGUAACAUGCACAUGGCCAGUAGAGGAGACGUCCACCUCGACUAGUUAGUUAGACAAGCCUUUAAUGAGCUGUAAAGUACAUGUAAGGCAUCUGCUGGAUGCUUAGAGUGUAGUGAAUAAGAGCUAUACGGCCCCUGUGUUCAUGGAACUUACUUGUCCUACUAUAUGAUAUGAUCCACUAUGGCUGAAUAUUGUGCAAAUUUUCAACAACUUCUAGAGGCCUUUUGCCUUUCCCCAGUGUAAGUCCUUAGUUUACUUGUGAUAUCUGGCAGGGGCACCACCCAUCUGUCAGUUUGUUUAUGGUGGCUUGUAUGUCGCUGUGAUACUGGAAACUAUGUCGUCAGUAUUUCAAAUACCAACAGGGACACCCAUGGUAGACAGGUUUCAGUGGAGCUUCCAGAAUAAAAUAGAUGAGGAAGAAAGGCAUGGAAAUGACUUUUGAAAAUUAGCCAGUGAAGACCUUAUGGAUUACAACAGAACAUUGUCCGACUUGCUUGCUUUGAACAUGUCAUCAGGAAGGAUCAAUCAAUGGAGGAGGACAUCAUGUUUGGUGAACUAGAGGAAAGAAGUGGAAAGCGUGUGCCAUCACAGUGAGGUAAUAAACCAAGAAGAUGGAAUAUAGAUAUGCAGCAUAGGAGGAAGGUAAGGAGAAUCCCAGCAGGAGAGUCAAGGAAAAUUGCAGAGGAUAUCUGUGCCCCAGGUGAUGAAUGGCCUCCAGCCCAAAUUGGAGCAGGAUGCCUUAGAGACACGGUGAGGGCUGUCAUCUCAAAGAUCCCCACCGUCAUUGCUUUAUCCUGUAAUACAAACACAUCAGUCAAAAUGACUACAGCAUCACUACCAUCAACUCUGUGGUUACCGAAAACAAGCUGGAGGAAGGAGCCACCAUCCAAGAAGCUGGAAAGGCAAGGAAACAGAUCGUCCCCUAGAAUCUUCAGAAGAAACCAGCCCUGCUGAUGCUGUUAUUGUAGCCCUAGUGAGACUGAUUUUGGAUUUCUGAACACCAAAACUCAUAGAUGAACUGCCCCAAGUCACAUUUCUUGUUCGGGUCUCAAGAAUUGGCUCAUCCUGGAGAACUCAUCAAGACCAGGCACUAUUGCAAGAUAUCACCUUCUGAAAUAUGCAUAAGGUUGGUUGUUUAAUAUCCCAAAUUAUCCAGCAAAAAGAUGCCUCUAACUUCCUUGGCCACAUCCUGAGCUGGAUUUCCUACAGCUGGUACUCUGCUGAUUCAUUUCCUGAUGGCUUGUCUAGUCUCUGGCUGAAAGGUGGACUUCGGGGGUGACUUCAGUUCUAAGUUAGCAGGGUGUCCAAGGGCCAUAGGCUCGGGAGUUCCUCCAGUCUCUGUCAGACCAGUAAGUCUUGUCUUUUUUAUGAAUUUAAAUUUUUUUUCUACAUUUUUCUCCCAAUCUGUCCAGAACCCUCAAUUGUGAUCUCUGUCAGAGUGGUUGGUGAUGGUAGCCAGGCACCAUCUAGUUCUUCUGGGCUCAGGCUGGUGAAGGCUGUGAUUCAUGUGGUCCAUUAGACCUUUGGACUAAUAUUUUCCUUAUGUCUUUGGUUUUCUUUAUUCUCCUUUGCUCUGAAUGUGAUGGGACCAAUAGAAGUAUCUUAGAUGGCUCUUCACAAGCUCUUAAGACCCCAGAUGCUACUCACCAAAUAGGAUGUAGAACAUAUUUUAUAUGAACUAUUCUGUGCCAAUUGACCUACCUAGAUGCCCCCACAAGACCAUGGUCCCCAGCCCUCAGUCCCAAUAACUCAGUCCCUCAAGGUGUUUUGAUGUGUCUACGGAGCUUCUAUGACUUUGCCUUGAUCAAGUCAUGCUGAUUCUCCUAGAUUGUGUGUUGUCUUUCCCUUUACCAAAGUUAACACUCACCUGCUAGCUAGUUAGUGAUCCCGCCUCCCCAAUCCUCUUCUCCCUCGUAACCAUCAAAGAUUGUUUUUUUUCCUGUGUGUAAACCUUUUCUUGAGUUUUUAUAAUAGUGGUCUCAUACAAUAUUUGUUCUUUUGUGAUUGACUUAUUUCACUCAGCAUAAUGCCCUGCAGAUUUAUCCCUAUUGUCAGAUGGUUCGAGGAUUCAUUAUUGUUAUUUAUCACUGCAUAGUAUUUAUUCCAUUGUAUGUACCCCAAUUUGACUAUCCAUUGAUCUGUUGAUGGGCACUUGGGUCGUUUCCAUCUUUUUGUUAUUGUGACUAAUAAUGUGAUGAACAUGGGUGUACAUAUGUCUAUUCAUGUGAUAUCUCUUGUUUCUCCAGCAUAUAUUCCUUGGAGUGGGAUUGCUGGAUUGUAUGAUAUAUUUCUAGCUUUUUAAGGAGCUGAUGUAUCAUCUUCCAUAGUGGUUAUACCAUUUUAUAAUCCCUCCAGCAGUGCAUAAGAGGUCCAAUCUCCCCACAACCUCUCCAGCCAAAAAACAAAGCCCAAACCCAUGGUUGUAAAGUUGAUUCCAACUCAUAAUGACCCUAUAGGACAGAGUAGAACUGCCCCAUAGGGUUUCCAAGGAGCGCCUGGUGGAUUUGAACUGCCAACCUUUUAGUUAGCAGUCAUAGUUCUCAACCACUGUGCCUCCGCAACCUCUCCAAAAUUUGUUACUUUCUGUUUUUUUGAUUAGUGCCAGUAAUGUCAAAGUGAGAUGGUAUCUCAUUGUAAUUUUGAUUUGCAUUUCUCUAGUAGCUAAUGAUCACGAACACAUUUCCUGAUGUGUCUGUUAAUCACUUGAAUGUCUUCUUUGGUGAAGUGUUUGUUCAUAUCCUUUGGCCAUUUUUUAAUUGGAUUAUUUAUCUUUUUGUUGUUGAGGUGUUGAAGUAUUGUAUAGAUUUUAGAGAUUAGACGGUUGUCGAACAUGUCAUAUCCAAAAAUUCUUCCCAGUCUGUAGUUUCUCAUUUUACUCUUUUGGUGAAGUUUUUGAUGAGCAUAAGUGCUUAAUUUUUAGGAGCUUCCAGUUACCUAGUUUAUCUUCUGGUGCCUGCGCAUUAUUAGUUAUGGUUUGUAAUUCUAUUUAUGCCAUGUAUUAGGGUCCCUAGCAUUGCCCCUAUUUUUCCUUCCACAAUCUUUAUCAUUUUAGGUUUUAUAUUUAGGUAUUUGAUCCAUUUUGAGUUAGUUUUCGUGUAUGGUGUGAGAUAUGGGUUCUGUUCCCCCCCCCUUUCUUUUUUUUUUUUUACAGAUGGAUAUCCAGUUUUCUAGCACCAUUUGUUAAAGAGACUGUCUUUUCUUUCCCUCAUUUAACAGACUUUGGAACUUUGUCAAAGAUCAGCUGACCAUAGGUGAAUGAUUCUGUUCCACUGGUCUAUGUGUCUGUCAUUGUACCAGUACCAGGUUGUUUUGACUACCAUGGCUGUAUAUUAGGUUCUGAGAUCAGGUAAUGUGAAGCCUCCUACUUUGUUCUUUUUCUUAAUAGUGCUUUGCUUAUCCAGAUCUUUCCUUUCCAUAUAAAGUUGGUGAUUAAUUUUUUCAUCUAGUUAAAGAAAGCUGUCAGUAUCUGGAUCAAGAUUGCAUUAUAUCUAUAGAUCACUUUGGGUAGAAUUGACAUUUUCACAAUAUUGAGUCUUCCUAUCCAUGAACAUAGUAGGUCUUUUCAAUUUAUGUAGGUCUUUUUUGCAGUAUUGUUCUAUAGUUUUGUUUAUAUAGGUCUUUUAUAUCCCUGGUUACAUUUAUUCCUAAUUUUUUUUUUUAGGGGGUAUUAUAAAUGGUAUUGUUGCUGUUCUUACUUUUGUUGGUAUUUGCUUGUCUACUGUCACAGCUGUAGGAAAAUAGCUUCCCCCUCUCUUCCACCUUCACUGGCAGAACUUAAAUCUUACCCAGAAUCUCAGCUGCUUUCCAGCCCCUCGGAGGAAACAUAAACAUGGGUGGGAAUAGAUGCCUAGGGCCAACAGAUAAUAUCUAGCAUGGGGUGUCAUAUUUUGGUUGCUGUUGAGUGACCUUUUUUUCUGAAGGAGUAUGGAGUAAGGCCCCAUCACAAAUGGUGGUUACAACUAGAAUCCACUGCCCCUAAUCCUAGUUAAAUCUGAGCAUUCCUGAGAACAGAUCCAAAGCAAUAUGCUUUGAAAUAUGAAAACUACCCAGGCCUAACACAGACUCUUGGAUAGCUUCCCUAUUCUUGAGAGUUUAUGUGUUCUCUAUAACAUUCAGUGUGGUACAGGCAAAGAAAGAGGAUUUGGAAAUCAAGACUGGUGUUUGAGUUUCACCUCCACCUCUAUCUAGCAGUUCAUUUAAUAUUUCUGACCCUCAGUUUUCUCAUUUGAAAAAAGAAGAGAAAAAUCAGGAGUAUUAUUAGAAUCCAGGGGAAUAAUGGAUUUGCAGACUGUAAAGUUCAUUACGGAAAUUGGGAGUGCACGGGGGUGACAGGUUUCAUCUGCAUCCCUAUCCAGGAAUGGUUUUCUGCCUAAGACAGCCACCUCACCCAAGGACAUACCCCUUCUCUGCAUCUAGUGACUGGGAAAGCAGGGAGUGGGGAGAGGAUAAAAUAGCACAGCCCCCUUGCUUCAAUUCAGGGCAAGUCUGAAGGGCCACCCAGCCCUAGAGCUCCCCAUAGGAUCAGACGAGGAGUCUACUGUAAUUUUAUCACUAUUCAAGUUCUUCCUGUGCCCUAUCCUGCUUCCCUCAUCCAUCACAGAUGUUGAUCAUGAGAGUGCUCCCCCUCACAGUAUCCUGCACAAAAAGUCUCUGUCGUAGAGUCUGUUUCCUGGAGAAUACAAACAUCAACACAGGUUUAGCAGAAAGGGAAUUUUUUAAAGGACAGUAGGUAGCCCAUAGAAUCUCUAGGAAGGCCAGUAAGCCAGGCAUGAAGAAUGUGUUCUAAGGAAGAAAGCGCAAAUCAUUCCAUAAGACUGCUCCAGUGGAAACACUCUUGUUACACUCUGUACACAGAUGUUGUAGUUUGCAUCAUGGACACUGCUAAUGCCAGGCACUGGACAUGACUCUAGGGCCUCUGCCACCCCUGACUCUGGAGUGAACGUGCCUGUAAUUACCUUUUCCAGAGUGGAUUGUGUUCAGUAUCUGCCAUUUUGCCUCAUUAUCUUCUUGUUCAAAGUCUGGGGUGGUGAAUUUGAUUGGUAGAGACUGGAUCACAUGCCCAGAUACUAGCUUCAAGGGAGGAUGGGAAAUCUAAAGAGUAAGACAGGUACUCAUAAAGUGGGGAACUCUUCAGAUGUAGGAAAGAGGUUCAAAAAUACUGCACCAAAAAAACCCCACAAAAAAACAAACAAAAAAAACAUUGCCAUGGAGUCAAUUCCGACUCAUAGUAACCCUAUAGGAUGGAGUAGAACUGAUCUAUAGGGUUUCCAAAGAGCAGCCGGUGGCUUUGAACUGCUAGCCUUUUGGUUAGUAGCUGUCAUGGAUUGAAUUGUGUCCCCCCAAAAUACAUGUCAACUUGGUUAAGCCAUGAUUCUCAGUAUUGUGUGGUUGUCCUCCAUUUUGUGAUUUUCCUAUGUGUUAUAAAUCAUAGUCUCUGCCCGUGGUUAAAGAAGAUUAGGGUAGGAUGUAACAUACUUGCUCAGGUCAAUGUAAUCCAGAAUAAAGGGAGUUUCCUUGGAGUCUGGCCUGCACCACCUUUUAUCUUACAAGAGAUAAAAAGAAAGGGAAGCAAGCAGACAAGGGGAACCUUAUACCAUCAAGAAAGCAGUACUGGGAGCAGAGCGUGUUCUUUGGACCUGGGGUUCCUGCACAGAGGAGCUCCUAGUCCAGGGUAAGACUGAUGACAAGAACCUUCCUCCAGAGCCAACAGAGAAAGAAAGCCUUCUCCUGGAGCUGAUACCCUGAAUUUGGACUUCUAGCCUAAUAGACUGUGAGAGAAUAAAUUUCUCUUUGUUGAAGCUAUCCACUUGUAUUUCUGUUAUAGCAGCACUAGAUGGCUAAGGCAGCAGCUAAGCCCUUAACCGUUGCACCACAGGGGCUCCUUGCACCAACAAAAGAGAAUGACAAAUGCCCCUGGAAGUGUCAUCAGUGAUGUUAGUUAUAGAAAUGUAUGGUAAUUACUUAUUUCAAGCAGUAUAAUUGCAUUUUAUCAGAGGCUUUUUUGGGAUCAUAAUCUUAACCUACAGGCAAUUUACCAGAUCAACAGAAGAGCCAUUUUUUGUUGAGAGCCUUGUACUGCCUUUGGAAGCACAUCAUUCCAACCUCAAAGUCUAGACCAAGAUAAAAUAGAUAAUAAAUACUCGAACAACUAAUCCUAAAUACUAGAUUUCCUGCUGUGUCUGACCUCUAAAUUUACAAGGAGGAAGGAGACUCAAGAUCGACUGCCCAAGGCUGAUUCUUAUGAGGUGGAGGUCAGGCAUAUCUCCAUCCUCCAACCUUUUUACUAAUUCUGCCACCAACUUUCCUUCUCAUGGCACUCUUUACUUCCCUGCUGGGUUCAAUAACUCUUUGCCAUGGUCACACAGAAGUCACACACAAUACUCAUGAUUAUGGGGUUUAUUAGGGAAGUAACAGGUUACAAUUCAAGUUCAAGGAUGCUGAGGAUACAUUUCUUAGAUCAGGACAGCGUCUUCUCAGCAGUGCCCACAGGCAUGCUUCUCUCUGGCCCUUUGGCCUCUGCCCUGCUCAGGCAAAUGUUAUAAAACUCUUUGAGCUCUGCUGCCAAGUGCCCAGAGGCACCCCACUCCACCACGAAGCCUCCUGCUUGAAGGCACUCAGCUCUCUCACACCAUGGGUCAGCAUAUCCACUGAAACUACCUUGCUCUGUGGGCCAGGAAGUCCAUUGUGCCACCUCCUGCCAGCGUCCUGGUAUGGCUGCCUCAGGUGCUGCCAUUUCUCUACCACUGCUUCUCACCCUCUUUCACUAUCUCUGGUGUUACAGCUCUCUUUCUCUCUCCCUCUCUCUCUCUGUCUCCUGUGUCUUGGAGGUCUUAGCACAAGGAUCCUGUGUCAAAUGGACAUGCUCUACUCCUGGCUCUUCUUUCUUGGUAGUGGUGAGAUCCUCCCUUCCACCUUUGGGAUGGCUCAUUUUAAGCCUUGUGGGAUGGAAAAAUCAACCAAUUCCCUCAUUAGGGUUUCAUACACCUUAUUUGCAUGGUCCCAUCCCCAAAAGCGUGCCAUACGCUUUAUGUACAUUAUUAACAAGCUAUCCAAUCCCCAUGAUGGGCCACAAGCACCUCAUUUGCAUAGUCCCACCCAGUCAUUUGGUGGGAGUUACAAGACUAUGGCUAGAAGGGUCAUGUUAAGUAAUUCACUGCACUGCAAUACUACAUGCAAGUCUAGGGAUAUUUUCUUUCUUUGUCGUUGUUUUAAAAAAUUAAGAUCAUACACACUUUGCUACAUUUUACUUACUUAUUGAGAUACCCAACAUUAAAUCACAGAAGGCCCUCCAAGUUAACUAUCAUAGCUCUAAUUCAACUUUAAAAAAAGCUGCAUAGCAAUACUGAGUGUGAAUAUAACAUAAUUUACUCAACUAAAUUCCCACCAAUAGGAUUUCUUCUUGUUUACAGCAUUUUGACUCUUUCUCAUCUACUGAGUUAAUAUUUUUCCCAAACAUACAUUUGCUCAUUAACUUUAUUUAUAGUAACUUUUGCCAUAUAGUUUUAGUAAAGUAAAUGUGUCUAUCCUUUCUUUAAAAAGGAUAGAUUUAGAUUUGUAGAAUGACUAAAAAGUUCUCCCUGACUCAAGAUUAUACAUGUAGUCUUCUAGACCUUCUCUCAAGAUUCUUGGUGUUUCCCUUUUCAUGUUUAAGCCUUAAUCCCACUUCCAGUUCUGCCCUCCCCCAUGGUUCAGAGUUGGGCUAGCCAUGGCAGUGUAUAAUGUUAUUCUCAGGCUUGUGCUUUGGUCCUGGGCAGAAGAUAUAUUUGAGAAUAAUUAAAGACAAUAAUUAAGGACAUUCUACUUGGAUCAACAAUCAAUGUCCAAGGAAGCAGCAGUCAAGAAAUCAAAUGAUGUGUUACAUUGGCAAAUCAGCUGCUUAAAGUUUUCAAGAGCAAAGAUGUUACUUUGAUGACUAAGGUGUGCCUGACCCAUGCCAUGGUCUUUUCAGUUACCUCAUAUGCCUGCAAAAGCUGAACGAUGAAAAAGGAAGACAGAAGAAUUGAUGCAUUUGGACUGUGGUGUUGGCCAAGAACAUUGACUAUCCUGUGGAUUGCCAGAAGAAGGAAAAAUCAGACUUAAAAGAAAUGAAACUAGAAUGUUCCUUAGAAGUGAGCAUAGUAAAACUUUGGCUUGCUUACUUGAAAUACAUCAUCAAGAAAGACCAAUCACUAGAAAAGGACAUCAUGGUUGGUGAAAAUGAGGUAGAUUGAGGCAAUAGCCACAAAAAUGGAUUCAAACAUACCAACUAUCAUGAAGAUGGCACAGGGCUGGGUAACAUUUCAUUCUGUUAUAGAUAAGAUUGCUCUAAGAAGGAGCUCACUCCCUGACAUCUAAAACCAACAAUCAAAGACAGGAUGGAGGGGCUUGGGGAAUAAUGACAACUGGAACCAUAAGGCUCUGUUUUCUUAAGGGGCCCCAAGUAUGUGUCCCCUGACUGUAGAGGGUAGAACUGCCAUUCUGGAACCAGAUCGUGGGCCCCUUCUCCAAACUGGAGCCUCAGAGGAAGUACUAGCUAGAUCUCAGAGAGCCUGAAGUGUCAUUGUAGGCUGUGGUGGGACUGAGUCUGAAGAGUGAGCCUUGAUCCCUGUCUAAGCCAUUAAAGAACAGACCACAAGUGCCCCAGCUGCACACUUCAGCAGUGAACUCCCUCAGAACAGACCAACCACCCUCAUAGGAACUAGCUAGCUCACAACCAUGGAAUAGCACAACUUGAGGGGCUUCCCUUUCUCACAACAGCACAAAAUCCUUGAGCCCUUCAUCUGCCCAGAUACCAUCUUGGAGAGGAACAGGGAGAGAGGUGUAAAUUGGAAAGACAGACUCAACCAAAAGAGACUGCUUACUGGAAUAGACUGAGCCUACCAGGUAGGACUAAAAUUUAGUUCUACCUCCAUCUCCCAUCAUGUGUCUGUCAGCUUGUCAUACUGUGGUGGCUUGUGAGUUGCUGUGAUACUGGAAGCUUUGUCAUGAGUAUUUCAAAUACCAGCAGAGCCACCCAUGUUGGACAGGUUUCAGCAGAGCUUCUAGGCUAAGAAAAACUAGGAAGAAGGACCUGGCAGUCUACUUCUAAAAAAAAAUCAGCCAUUGAAAACCUUAUGAAUAGUCUGAUAUAGUGCCAGAAGAUGAGCCCCUCAGUUUGGAAGGCACUCAAAAUACAACUGGGGAAAAGCUGCCCCCUCAAAGUGGAGUCAGCCUUAAUGAUGGGGAUGGAAUCGAGCUUUUGUUUCAUUUGCUAAUGUGGCAUGACUCAAAAUGAGAAGAAACAGCUGCAAACAUCCAUUAAUGACAGGAACAUGGAAUGUACAAAGUAUGACUCUAGGAAAAUUGGAAGUUGUGAAAAAUGAAAUGGAACACAUAAACAUCAAUAUCCUAAGCAUUAGUGAGCUGAAGUGGACUGAUAUUGGCCAUGUUGAAUCAGACAAUCAUAUGAUCUACUAUGCCAGAAAUGACAAAUCGAAGAGGAAUGGUGUAGCAUUCAUCAUCAAAAAGAACAUUUCAAGAGCUAUCCUGAAGUACAAUGUUAUCAGUGAUAAGAUAAUAUCCAUCACCUACAAGGAAGACGAGUUAAUACGAAUGUUAUUCAAAUUUACUCACCAACCACUAAGGCCAAAGAUGAAGAAAUUGAAAAUUUUUAUCAGCAUCUGCAGUCUGAAAUUGAUCAACCGUGCAACCAGAAUGCAUUGAAAAUUACUGGUGUUUGGAAUGCGAAAUUUGGAAACAAAGAAGAAGGAUUGGAAGUUGGGAAAUAUGGCCUUGGUAAUAGAAACAAUGCUGGAGAUCAAAUGAUAGAAUUUUGCAAGAGCACGACUUCUUCAUUGCAAAUACCUUUUUCCACCAACAUCAACAGUGACUAUACACAUGGACCUUGCCAGAUGGAACACACAAAAAUCAAAUCGACUACAGGUGUGGAUAGAGACGAUGGAAAAGCUCAAUAUCAUCAGUCAGAACAAGGCCAGAGGCCAACUGUGGAACAGACCAUCAAUUGCUCAUGUGCAAGGUCAAGCUGAAACUGAAGAAAAUCAGAGCUAGUCCAAACCAAAAAAAGAAAAAAAACCAAACCCACUGCCGUCGAGUCAAUCCUGACUCAUAGCGACCCUAUAGAACAGAGUAGAACUGUCCCAUAGAGUUUGCAAGGAGUGCCUGGUGGAUUCGAACUGCUGAUCUCUUGGUUAGCAGCUGUAGCGGUUAACUACUAUGCCAUCAGGGUUUCCAGAGCUAGUCCACAAGAGCCAAAAUAAGACCUUGAGUAUAUCCCACCUGAAUUUAGAGACCAUCUCAAGAAUAGAUUUGAUGCAUUGAACACUAAUGACCGAGGAACAGUUGAGUUGUGGAGUGACAUCAAGGACAUGAAGAUCAAAGACCACAGCCUUCAGUAUGGAUUAUACCUCAACAUAAAGAAGAUAAAAAUCCUCACAACUGGACCAAUAAGCCACAUCAUGAUAAACGGAGAAGGGAUUGAAGUUGUCAAGGAUUUCAUUUUACUUGGAUCCACAAUCAACACCCAUGGAAGCAGCAGUCAUGAAAUCAAAAGACGAAUUGCACUGGGCAAAUCUGCUACAAAGGACCUCUUGAAAGUGUUGAGAAGCAAAGAUGUCACCUUGAAGACUAAGGUGCGCCUGACCCAAGCCAUGGUAUUUUCAAUCGCAUCAUAUGCAUGUGAAAGCCGGAUAAUGAAUAAGGAAAACUGAAGGAUAGAUGCUUUUGAAUUGUGGUGUUGGCAAAGAAUAUUGAAUAUACCAUGGGCUGCCAAAAGAAUGAACAAAUCUGUCUUUGAAGAAGUACAACCAGAAUGCUCCUUAGAAGCAAGGAUGGUAAGAUUGCAUCUUACAUACUUUGGACAUGUUGUUAGGAGGGAUCAGUCCCUGGACAAUGACGUCAUGCUUGGUAAAAUACAGGGUCAGUGGAAAAGAGGAAGACCCUCAAUGAGGUGGAUCAACACAGUGGCUGCAACAAUGGGCUCGAGCAUAACAAUGAUUGUAAGGAUGGUGCAGAAUCAGGCAGUGUUUCAUUCUGUUGUGCAUAGGAUUGCUAUGAGUCGGGACCAACUUGAUGGCACCUAACAAUGAUACAACAACACACUCUAAGAAACUAGAAUUCCCAUAUCCUUGUUUUGUGUGGUAUUAUUUGGUGAGUUUAUGUGGUCUUUCUGUCUAAUUUUGUUCUGAGAGCUUACUUCUGGCCUAAACCUUUGUACCUAAGUUUCUGUCUUGUAUCAGGUUGGAGGCUAUGGCUAAGAAACUGCCAUUUUUUUGUAAGGCUGUCUUAGAACCUCAGUUCUUCCCUCAUCCAAGAAAAACCGUCUUCUGUCUUAUGAUUUAGAUUUUUAGUUGCUACACUGAAAAAUUUUGUUUAAAUCAAUCUUAAAAGCAAAAUCUUUCUAAGUAACUUAAGCUAGAUAUCAUAUGAAAUGCUUCGUAUUUAAGGAAAAAGAGUAAUUUUGUCUUAAAGUAAAACUAGUAGUUCCAGAGUGGGUAAAAAGAGACAUAGGACAAGCCUGGGGUGUGUGUGUGUGUGGUUGUGGGGGGAGGGGGGUGGUAAAAAGGGCUAGCCAAGAAUUAAUGGAUUUAUUUACAAAAUUGCUAAAGAGCUUUGGUAUUUACUGGGUAGAUAGCCUUUCAAAAUGCCUAGAUCAAUUUAAACACAUAUAAAUGGAUCGGAAUGGCCUAAUCUUGUCUUCUACCAUGAGUCAAAAAUAGAGAGGGUGGGGCAAUACCAAGCCUUCUCAGUCCCCAGUCUCCAAGGUCAUAUAGCUUCAGGAAGCUUACUAUAGUUAUCAAAAAUUGGGUGGAUCCCAGUCAUAAAAGAACUGUAAACAAGUUCUCUGUAUUGUAGGGAAACUUUAAGAAGGCAAAAAAAAAAAUAGAAAUCACAAUGAGACAAACCUGAAAUAGCCUGGGAAAAAUGUUUCCAACACUAGCCAGACACUUAAGGUUAUAUCCAUAUCAAUGAAUUUGUCAGUUGAGCAGAGACUUUAUGAUUUCCAAAGCCAGUUGAUAAAAUCUUUAAGGGCUAAAAUUAGAUUGGGAAAAUGUGAGAGUAGUAAAAUUUGAAUGAAAACUUAGAAUGUUUAAACAGAUUUUUUCUUUCAACAACAGUUUUGCUUUAUGGUAUACAGGCUUAAAAUAAUUCCUAAGACUUUUUAGGUAAGUUAUUGAUGUUAAAUUGAGUUAAUAGAUAUUUGUCAUAAUUUAAGCUUAUAUACUUCUGUUUUUUAUGCCACAAGAGAAAGGAUAUAUAUAUGUGUAUAUUUGGGUCUGCUUAAUGAGUGAGUUCAUCUUUGCCAAUUUAAAAGAAUGUACUAUAAGAGAUAUGCAACAAAGGCAACAUAUAAGAGGUUUAUUAAAAAGAAAUUUAUUUGAUAUGGUCAAAAGUUUUAUCUGUCUGACUGAAGUUUAAUGGUUUAAUUUAUGAGAUUUUUAGGAGCUUUAACAUUAAAUAAAAUAUAAAACAAAGAAUUGGGCUUCUUACUGUUAAAAUAACAAAAUUUUCUUUGAUUUCUGAGUUAAAGGGUUAAUUUUUUUCUUUGUGUAAUCUGCCUCAAAGACAAAGGUUUGGUCUCUUAGCAGAAUAAGAUUCCUGAGUUGAAAACCAAGCCACAUGGCUUUAGGGGGGAAAUAAAGCUAAGGCUUUUACAUUUAAAAUUUUUGGUUAAAUAACUUAAGUAUUGUUUCUUGGCGACCUAUAAUAAACUCCUAACAACUCUGAAACUUCAUGGAAAGCCACAAAUAAAGAAAAGAAAAAAUUAUAAAGAAAAUGUGCUAAACAGUUUUAUUUAAUAAAUUACAUGUAAUGUGUUGUCAAAAUCAAGAGAAAAGACUAAUUCUUUUUAGGUUAAAACUUAUAUGUUAGUAUUUCCUCUUGUGUUUUUGCCUAAUGUUAGAUAGCAAACGCAUAAUAUUAUGUCAUAAUUUUAUUAUUAUUUCUUAAUUGCUAACUAGGUCGCAACUUUAUCAAAGCCUAUGGUUUGAUUGGGGAAUUCACAUCAUUUACGUACAAAGUUUUUUUCUUUUAAUUACUAUUCAGAUAUUUAGAGAUUUGAUAAUCUUGGUGUAUUUUUAGUAUAUCCUGACUAUAUGGUAUUAUCUAUCAAGGUUAUUAUGUAUUAUAUAUGAAGCUCUUUAAAAAUAUGGUUAAUGGUUAUAUUUAGAGAUAUUUUUAUCUAAAGUUUUUUUUUUAACUGAUUUUGUUUGGCCUUUACAUUAUGCUUGUAGUUAAUUUCUAUCAGAUCCUUCACUGUAAGAGUAUUAUUUUUAUAAGUUAGUCAUGGCCAUAUUAAGUUUUGUC